GACGAAGGGGGCUAGCGUUGUUCGGAAUUACUGGGCGUAAAGCGAGUGUAGGUGGUUGUCGUAGUCAGGCGUGAAAGCCUUGAGCUCAACUCAAGAAAUGCGCUUGAUACUGGGCAGCUAGAGGACCGGAGAGGAUAGUGGAAUUCCCAGUGUAGUGGUGAAAUACGUAGAGAUUGGGAAGAACACCAGUGGCGAAGGCGGCUAUCUGGACGGUUUCUGACACUAAGACUC
rnacentral:rRNA from 1 species